rnacentral:rRNA from 1 species
UGCAGCAACGCCGCGUGAGGGAUGACGGCCUUCGGGUUGUAAACCUCUUUUAGGAGGGGGAAGCGAAAGUGACGGUACCUGCAGAAAAAGCACCGGCUAACUACGUGCCAGCAGCCGCGGUAAUACGUAGGGUGCAAGCGUUGUCCGGAAUUAUUGGGCGUAAAGAGCUCGUAGGCGGUUUGUCGCGUCUGCUGUGAAAUCUGGGGGCUCAACCCCCAGCCUGCAGUGGGUACGGGCAGACUAGAGUGCGGUAGGGGAGAUUGGAAUUCCUGGUGUAGCGGUGGAAUGCGCAGAUAUCAGGAGGAACACCGAUGGCGAAGGCAGAUCUCUGGGCCGUAACUGACGCUGAGGAGCGAAAGCGUGGGGAGCGAACAGGAUUAGAUACCCUGGUAGUCCACGCCGUAAACGUUGGGAACUAGAUGUGGGGGCCAUUCCACGGUCUCCGUGUCGCAGCUAACGCAUUAAGUUCCCCGCCUGGGGAGUACGGCCGCAAGGCUAAAACUCAAAGGAAUUGACGGGGGCCCGCACAAGCGGCGGAGCAUGCGGAUUAAUUCGAUGCAACGCGAAGAACCUUACCAAGGCUUGACAUAUACCGGAAACGUCCAGAGAUGGUCGCCCCGCAAGG